rnacentral:lncRNA from 1 species
GUGUGUAUAAAAUUAGCUUUACUGAACUGUUCUGUUUAAUAAAAGCCUUCUCGUGACGCGAGUCCCGAAUCCACAGUGGAGACAGCGGAACUAGGUGGUCCGAGGGGAAGUUUGAUCUCAGUGAUUCCCAGCCCUAGCUCCAUCCGGGGUCGCGUCGCAUUAGAGCCUCUAAAAGAUACUGAGAUCUGGGCCCCAUCCAAGCCCUUGAAGAUCUCCAACGAUGGACUUUGCUGUCGAUAUAUUGUUUGUAAAGAUUCCCAAUUCACCAAGAUGAUGUCAGUACAGCUAGUGAGAUGCAGCACACCACCUCCCGUCCCUCUGCCUCUGGAAGAGAAGUCAGACUACCCCGGGCACCAGUACAGAAGCUAACGGAACUCCAAAUGACAAGACAAAGCAGAAACGGGAUCGAACUCGGGACCUUGCGCUUUCGAGGCAGGCACCAGAACCACUGAGUUAAAUGCCUGGCCCUCACUUAUAUUCUGUGAAAUGAUGAGUAUGUGGUUGGAGCUGGGGGGGUGGGGUUCACAUUCCUAGGGGAUCCAAAUGGCCCUUUCCCCAUUCCCACUAGUGCCGGAUUGUACAAUGAUUGGGAUCCCCUCUCCAGACCAUGUCGUUCAAAUUUCCAGUUUCCUUUCUCACAGUUAAGAAAAUCUAAGAGGAUCUUAACAUGGCAUGCUUCUGUGAAAAUCUCACUGCCCUUUUAUUCGUUUUUAUUAACUGUAUCAGAAAUCUCCGACUCAUAUGAAAAACAACCAACAUUUCCCUGUGGCCACUGGAAAGCUUGAGGCUGAAUAAUGUUAUAUCUGCAAAGCACUGGCAACACAUCCUAAGUUCCACUUAGUGCCCUGUACAAAAUAAAUGACCAAGGAAUGUUUGCUUAAUUAAAUCAAACAUUAAAUAUAAGUAUUUUAUAAAGUGCUUAUGUUGAACCUGUUUUUCCAUUCAGCCUCAUUUCUUACUAAGUCUAUUUGAGUCUUUCAUUCCACUUACAAUGAACUACAUGCAGUUCCUUAAUGUUCCCAUGCUGGUUCAUGCCUCAAAGCUCAGUGUUUCCUCUGCCAGAAGCAGCCUAGACAGCCCUUAAUUUUUAAGACUUAGCGUAAGGUCACUUCUUCUAUAAUGACCCUAUUCUUCCUGUCCUCAGGUAUAAUGACCCUCUUUCCCCACUUUGUUCCCUAAUGUUACUCUACAUGGAAUUUACUCCUUUUU